GCCAGUGGGCGCAAGCCUGAGCAGCCUGCCGCGUGUGUGAAGAAGGCCUUCGGGUUGUAAAGCACUCUCAGCGAGGAGGAAGGGUUCAGUGUUAAUAGCACUGUGCAUUGACGUUACUCGCAGAAGAAGCACCGGCUAACUCCGUGCCAGCAGCCGCGGUAAUACGGAGGGUGCAAGCGUUAAUCGGAAUUACUGGGCGUAAAGCGCACGCAGGCGGUUUGUUAAGUCAGAUGUGAAAUCCCCGCGCUUAACGUGGGAACUGCAUUUGAAACUGGCAAGCUAGAGUCUUGUAGAGGGGGGUAGAAUUCCAGGUGUAGCGGUGAAAUGCGUAGAGAUCUGGAGGAAUACCGGUGGCGAAGGCGGCCCCCUGGACAAAGACUGACGCUCAGGUGCGAAA
rnacentral:rRNA from 1 species